UUUUUUUUUAGCUUAUAAGCUGUUUUAAGUUGACCAUAUUUUUAUCUUUUUGCCCUUAAUAUUUUUAUACAAUCUCCAAAUUACUCACAUAACCCUAACAUCUCUUUCUUCCAUUUUUCGCUUUUCACGUUUGGCAUAACAACUUCAGCACUUUUAUCCAAACGCAUAACUGCUUAUUUUAAAAAUAAGUUUCAGCACUUUCAAAAGUACUUUUUUAAAGCUGCUUUUACUAAGCCCAUCCAAACGGGUCACAAAAGCACUUUACUUAAAAGCAAUAUAGAAAAAGCUACAACCAUUAUACAUUCAUAGACACUUCAAAUUGUCAGCUGAGGCUAUACACUUUGGAUGACCACGAGAAACUUUAUUGCAUUACAUUACACUAUUUAGUUCCAGCUUUAGCAGCACAGUGAAAUAUCACGAUUGUUCAGUAUGGGACGAUGAUGGAUUCUAUAAUCUCUUGAAGUGGAGCCAGUUCCUUCUUGUCAAUCAGUCCAAACUCAUGGGUGAAGAGUAUGAAAUGCUUAAAGCACGUAUUCAAAUGGGCCUCCUCCUUAAGACUCACAAUUUUCUGAAAAUGGGAAUGAUAAAUAUGUGCAUACACACGAAAGAGACGCUUAAAAAUUGUCUUGACAACAUCCUUGAAGUUGGGUGGAAACGGCGCACCAAGCCUUUGAGGAAAUAGAGAUUCAUCAUCCAAUUGAGUUUCAAUCCAGUCCAUCAAAUAUUCAACAUACUUUGGAGCCGAAACUUCAAUAGGCUUCUUAAUUUGUACUCCAUCAGCCCACCUGUACUCGUAUUUGGGGCCUGCAGUCAUUGUAGGGCAGUUCUCUGGUGUACAGAACUCGGUCAACGUGCCAUAAAGCAGAUUCACCUGGUUGAAGAAAUCGACAGUGUUGACAGCAAGCCACUCGUUAAUAUCUUCUCCAGGCGGGAGCCUAACAGCCUCUCUCAAGUUUCCGCUACCCAAUGUGGCAUCAAUAUGCUUCCUUAACUGUGCCCCCUUACUCCCUGAGGGUGCACUUUUUUUGGGCCGAAAUGUUCUCUGAUUCCUUCCAAGACCAAAAAGACUCAUGAUGAAUUAGCUAUGGAGAAGAAAGCAGAGGCCCCGGUGGUAGAAAAGGGGAGUGGGGGUGAGUGAAGCGGCAAGAGAUGGAGAAUGGAGCGGUUAAUCAGAACAGAGAGUAUAUAGGAGUUAGGAGUAUAAUAAUUU
rnacentral:misc_RNA from 1 species